ACUUUCUGGGCUAAUAUAUUAUUUUUACCACAACAUACAGUCUUUGUUUCCAUUUGAAAACUCAACAGCAGAGAUUAUAUUGCAAUGUUUUGACCAGGUCACUUGCAGUUCAUAUUUUUUAAUAUCAAGUCCGUGAUAUUGCUAAUCCUGUACAAUUUCAAUUCCUCACUAUCUAUGAGAGGAUGAAUAUUUUACAUUAAAUGUUGGGA
rnacentral:lncRNA from 1 species